AGCUUGUUCUUCAAACGCCGUUAAACGUUUCUUGUCCUGCACUUUCAUCAGACGCUCCUCUUAUCUGAACGAACUUCGGCCCUACCUCUUUCAUACCCGUUAACACUGUUUGGACAUCUGGCUUAAUAGUCUCGAGCAACUGCCACAUCCAGUCGUACCACAUCUCUUUCGCCUUUAAAUAUUCUUGAAUUACAGGGGGACUGUCAAUAUCACAUCGUGCAGAGACGGCAGCGAGCUCUUCAUCGCCAGUCUGGAUAUCUUGAAAGAGUUUAUUUGAGGCCCAAGUAUACAUGUUGAGGAAGAUGCUGUUGACCUGCGCUUCUGUGUACUCGUGAAGAGCGAAGUCCCUCUCUGAGUUCGAUCGUCAGUAGAUGAAUAUCAACGCGCAAUCGACAUACCAUUCGCAUAGGACUGUCCCAAGAUCUCCUUGGCAACAUUACUUCUCUUCCGAUUCAACCCAGACAGCCCUUCCAUAAACUGCACACCAGCAAUCUCCAAGAACGCCGCCAGAGAUAUGUCCUGAGGUUGCUCAUGUAUAUGUCGCUGGAGCUCAGUAAUAUUAUCUUCGUUUCGUUCCUCAGUCUCCUGUUGUGGAGGGGCCACAGGUCGCUGGGGCGGUAAAGAAAGACGCAUCUCUGUGCCGAGGGACGAUCGACGAGCGGAUAUAACAGUUGCGUGAGGAGGAUCAGACGGAGGUGUGGUGCUCUGAACGACAAGGGCAGGAGGUUCUACUUCCUCUGAUUUAGUAAAAGGUAAGAUAUGGUGGGGAGUACCAAACACUUCUUCCGCCGCUGCUUCGAUUCUAGUCUUCUUCAUACUUCCCUCCGUCUCUUGGAUAUCCUCCCUAACACGUUUCUUGCCUCCACUUGAGGUAACAGAGCCAAAGCUCAACCGCUUUGCCACCUCGGCAGCAGUCUGAAUUCCGCUUUUCCUAGGUGUGGUUGACUUAACUGGACUUGGUGAAGGAGCAAAGACGUUACGUUUGGUCGUUGUAGACUUCUGUGCGGAAGAAACGGUUGGGCGAGCAAAAGAUGGAGUGCCACUGAUAGGCCGCGCGUUAUUGCGGACACUAAGUCCUGGUGAGACAGGAGGUAAACUGAUUAUGCCGCCUGCUGAGGUAAUCAUAUCCAUACCCUCGUCUCCAUCGGUUUGCGCAGGAAAAGCGAUUUGAUGACUAUAUGUAAAAGUCAUAGUCUUGUCAUCGCUCCUCGAGCCCAUGGUAUCCUCGCUUCCAGAACUGAAUGAGACGUCUUGCCCAACAAUGGCCCCAUAUACCUCUGUCUCUUCCAUGGGAUACUCAAUCUCAUGGUCCUCAGCUUGACCAGGCAUCAAAUUUGGGAGAGCUGGACCAUCAGGGUUAGGGAACGAAUAACCGAUAGAGUUUCGGUUUCGAGUUGCUGUAGCUGGAGCUUCAUGAGGUAAGAGACCUCCUACGGCGAUGGUAAAGUCCAUGGUCUUUUCCUCAUCCUCGAGAUGGGAAUGUCCUUGGUCAUUGUCGGACUCGUCUUCAGUGUCGGCGCCGGCAUCUAGCUCAGAAGGUGCGGCGACGGUAGGAGCAAUUGAUGACCGUCGAACGAUUCCACCAUAGAUUUGUUGAGUAAUGUCCAUGUCCUCCUCCUCCAUUUCCAUCAAAUCCUCGCCUUCUGCACUUCCAUCGUGGCUAUACUCUUGUUGUGUCUCGUCUCGCUCGCUCGUGUCGAACCCACUCAACUCCUUAUCAUCUUCAAUCUCCAUCGAUUCUUCGCCUUCAGCUUCCCCUUCUCCUUGGAAGAUGCUCGGAGCAAAUAUGUUAGGCUUUGACACUGAGCCGAUAUCAAGAAUUGAUGAGCGACGGGAGUGAUUCGACUUCACAGAAGGGGUUGAAGUUUCUGUAAAGGAGAAACCGAACGAGGCACGGGGAUUUUUAGUAACUUGACGUUCAAACAUACUGCAAGUUUUUACAUACUUAGCACAUACGAGGCGCGGCAUAUCCAUAGAGUUACUUACCGAACAUGAGCAUUGGGGGCGAAACU
rnacentral:sRNA from 1 species